UACGAAGGGGGCUAGCGUUGCUCGGAAUUACUGGGCGUAAAGGGCUCGUAGGCGGCCAACUAAGUCCGACGUGAAAUCCCCAGGCUUAACCUGGGAACUGCGUCGGAUACUGGAUGGCUUGAAUCCGGGAGAGGGAUGCGGAAUUCCAGGUGUAGCGGUGAAAUGCGCAGAUAUCAGGAGGAACACCGGUGGCGAAGGCGGGUCUCGUGGGCCGAUACUGACGCUGAGGAGCGAAAGCGUGGGGAGCGAACAGG
rnacentral:rRNA from 1 species